AAAUAAGGACACACAGACGACCAUCAAUUUCAACUUGCCAAUUGCAGAGAAUAAAUAACAUACAUCUUCAAAGUAUAAUAAUCUGGUAUCUUAUCUUUUUAGAUGGAAGUACAGAGACAACACCACAUUUAUACAUAGGCACAGCCAACAAUAGUUCAAUCCGACUGGGACUACCAUCCAAAACUGCUUAUCGCAAAAGAUAUACACUAUUUGCAAACGUGUCACACACAAUAAAAGAUUUGAUCCACAUUAUAAUACAUUGUUAUUGUUAUUUAACACAUACUUAACAAUGUCAUAGGCAUGACACCAAAGCCAGAAAUGCCUAGUGUUGACCACCGGAAAACUUCUCCUUUAUCGUUUCAAUUUUAUUUCUUUCUUCUCAUAAAGCCGCUUUUCUGGCUAUAGCUGUUCCAUAUCCUAUAAUAAUACCAUAUGAUCCUCUAGUACAUGGAUUAGUAGUUUGAGUAUGCUCCUUCCUACUUGUGCCCGCCUGACAACUUCUCAUUUAUCUUCUCCUUGAUUCCCUUCUUCCACUUUUCUCUAUUCCAUCAUUCCCAGAAGAGAUGGAGCUGGAACUACCUCAGCUGAGUGGUGAAGCUGUGACUGGCCAUGGGUACCAGUGGACAGGCCCACACCAUGCACCAAUUGUAGCACCAGUGCCAUGCAUGCCAGUUGCAACCUGCACCAGAAUCGGUUAGUCUACUCUUCUAUCCUUGAUAUCCUCCUUCAUUGUGGUUUACCAUUAUAGAACUUCUCAACAAUUGAUUCACGAUUGAAAUUUAAUAGAGACGUUGAUGAAGAAUUUCGAUAUCAGUGCUUCAAGAUAAAUAUCUCUUACAAAAUCAAAUCAAAUUAAGAAUUAAUUAAUUCACUCACAACAGCUACUCUCAACACUUCUGAUUAUCAGUUGUCGAAGUCCAUCAGUACCAAGUUACUCUCAGUUGUAGAGAUAAUUAAAUCUGAAUGAUCAAAUCUACAUAAGCAUUCAAAAUGAAUUUCAUGACUGAAUAUGCAAACUCUAACUAAUUACAAAUAUAAGAGUUAUAGUGUAUUACAAUUAAACAAAUAAAACAAACCACUGAUCAUGUGAGGAAUUUCGCGAUUAUAUUUCAUAAAUUUACCUCUGAUACAGAUGUAUUUUGCAAGCUCAAGUCCCAAUUCCUCCUGCCUGCCAUCCUAAAAGAUUGAAAAACCACAUAUGAGACAGAUACAUGUACAUGAAAGUAACGAAGCAGCCACGCACAUUGAAAUCAAUAAACUAUUCAUUCCAAAUGAACACAAUAAAAUCGAUAAAACAUUCACUCCAAGUCAACCAAGCUAAAUAAAAAAAUGCAGAACUCCUAACCUAUACUAUAGCUCCAAAAUUACAAACGACAAAUUAAGAAGAAAGAUCAAUCCAAAUAACUAUUUUUACUCUUAACUCACAUUAGCAUUCCGCCGUGUCUGGCCGUAAAAAUAAAAAUGAUAAAUAAAUGUCAAUUCAAAUGAUGAAGAUGGGAAUGAUAACAGAGACUGAAAAUAGUAUUAGUAGCAUAUCUAGAGUGGUGGAAAUCAACAUCUUGUAAAUGAACCCACUAAGGAAUGAAAGCAUCGCAAACAGUACUUUUAAGCAUGGCUUUGUUAUCAUCCUGUAAUAAAUCCAACAGUAAGCGAAGCAUACACCAACACAAACAUAUAAAAAUAGUUGCAUACAAAAUCAGACAGUUUAUAUCGAUAAAGAACCGAUUGCAAUUGUAAUUAGAUACAAAAUAAGCAAUAGCAUUACUCUAAAAUAUUAAUUGUUAAAUAUUUUGUUAAAUAAUACAAUGUUUUUGGGCUAAUACACAUCUUAAUUUAAGAAUGCAUUAAAGAUACAUCCUGGGAUAAGAUGCGUCGUAGAACUUACCCUUCUUCACUUCUUUCUGAACUCCAAAGUUGAAGGCGGUGAAUGGAGAAGAGAGAGCAAUAUGAUUAUAUUCCUACAUCAAUAGUUGUUAGUGUUGUGGUGAUAAUAUAAGUCUAGAUCCCAUCUAAUAUUCAGAUUUUAACAACCAAUACAAUUAUUCAAAAUCAAAUCUAUCUUUCGGCAGCAAAAAUCGAAAAGAAACAGAACCCUGUAAGCUUUUAGAAUCUAUCUUCUCUUGUUUGGAUUAUAGUAUUUCCUCCAUUUACUAUAAUAUUAUAACAAAUAAAUACCACACAAAUAUAUAUACCCAUCGGCAGAGCAUUUCCUUAAGCUUUUCUCUUUUCAAGAGGCAGAGGUUUAUUUGGUGACUUCAUGGCUUGAAAGUGUAUGACUUCUUAUUUUAACGGUACAUAAGAAGGAAUAAAAUGAUAAAAAGACAGCAAACAUUAAGCUUAAUUACUUAAUUAGUUAACAUACCUUGAAUUUUGUUAAAUUUGUUAGCAAAGACCAAAAGUCGAUCAAUUUUCACAUCCAGCUGUUAGAGGCGCUCCAACCUCAAGAUAUGAGUAUAAUGUUUCAUCCAAUGACAUCGUUUCAUCACAAAUGAUUGACAAUCCUAAAAUAAAAAAUAACAGAAUUACAUCAGAAUUACAAAUGCACUAUGUUUGUUACCAUUUACGACCUGUAUAAGACUUAAGUCCUUGAUAAAUAGCCGAAAAAUAUAUAAUACAUUAUUAAAAUUAUAAACAGAACUAAUAAUCAACUUUAAAAACAUGUCAUAGUUUUAAGUGUCAUUAUCUUAGAUAAUAGUAAACCUCUGAAUAUGAUAAUAUACUAUGAUAGAAAUUAGAUCUGGCUUGUGAUUUAUCAAGUGCGUUCUAUGGUUCUGGUAUAUCCAACAUAUAAACCUACAAAUAAACGGUUCAUUAUACUCGUGUAUACCUUGCAUACAUGACAACAACGACUACUUGGUUCCACAAAUGCAUGUACAGUGUUGUACGGUUGUCAUUCUGUUGACAUAUAACAUUACCAACUUGACUAAUUUGAGCACCAGGUGAAUUCAUUAGCUGGAUUGAUACUGAGUUGCUCCUUAUGACCAUGUCAGUGUUUGGGAUCAUCCCUUGUAGAAGUACUACUCCACCUUUUGUAGCCAAGUAGAAUGAUGGUUCCUAUGGCCCUGCACUAUUUUUGUCAUGUUAUCAUAAGUGUAAACAAAUUCAUUACUUUCCAGUGUUACAAUGUAAUCUAGAGUAAAUAAAACAGCUGAAUGACAAUUCUAAUGUAGCUACGUUUUCAUAGAAAAGAGGUUUACACCAAAAAAAAAAAAAAAACUACAUUUUACCAAGGCCCACUGCUGCAACAACUUUCUUGCCUAUCAAGUUGCCAAGUCCAUUCCAUUUUUCGUGGAAUGAACCACCAUAAAUAUUUGACAAAUCCACUGUGAAGCAAAACAAAUUGGAAUAUGAAAUAAUAAGAACACACUUAGUGAAUGCAAAGAAAUAACAUGAAACAUUCAAAACCUCAAAAUGAGAUGACUCAAUAAACCCAAUAGUACUCAAGAAAAUGAACCCGAAAUGAGAGGACUUGAUCAACUCCUACUUUUGUAACUGAUCUUCAAGAAGUUCCAUAUGCAACCUUUCAUGAGAUGAAAAAUAUAUCUUAUUUGAUAAUGGAUAGCUGCUACUUUAGAUCUAAAUUGGAUCCAUGAACAUAAAAUAGCUUCAAAUAUAUAUAUAUAUAUAUAUAUAUAUAUAUAUAUAUAUAUAUCUUAUAAGCUAAAAAAGCUGCUACAAAAUAUAAGAAGAAAACUUAGAAGCGGAAGAGAUGAGACACUGAAUCAAAGAAACAUAGUCAUUCAGUCCCCCUUAUCUUUUACGGCUGCAUCCUCGGACAAUGCCUAUAUGAAUUAUGUUCGGGUAUCAAACUUAAUUUAAGAAGCUACUGCAUUUCAGAAUGAUUUUGAGAAUAGAAAGAUGCUUACAUGAUGGUGGAGAUUCUAUAUCAACUGAUUUAGAACAUACUUAAUUUACGUUUUCAGCUUUCACAAUUAAAACCACAAAAUGCAUUCCCUAAGUUACUGCCUAGACAUGUUUAUCCUACAAAUUCCAUUAAAAAAAUCAGAUAUAUAUUAAGUAUUACAGAAAAUUGGUACACGCAGCAUGUCACAUUGAAAAUUAACUCUGUAUAAUCAGUAAAAUCUACGUUACCCGGACUCUUCAUUUUGCCUCGAGUACCCGUGUCGGACACUCGACACUCGGACAUGGGUAUGAACACUCUGACACUUAUUUUAGGUCAAAAACAUGUAAAACUUUCAAAAUAUUGCCGAGUCCGACACUCGGACACGUAUCCAGUUUGGACACUUCAGCCGAGUCCGGGUAACAUAGAGUCAAAUAAUACAAAAUCACACAACGCAGGAAACAUUGUGCCAUUUAACGGAUUAACUACUUACUGAUUAUGGAACACAUAUACGUGAAGAAUAAUCAUUGUCUUUUCAAGUAUCUGCAGUUUUGGUAUAUAUAGAAAACAGGAAACAUACACACUUGUCUAUCGGGAAGGAUUCCGUGGAAGAAAUGGUGGCUUCACAUCCUCACGUUUCGAUAAGAAAUAGAGCUGCAUCGGACCAACAACCACCACGAACAUCCUCAGCACAUCUCGAUAACACUUCAUCUUCUCUCCAGUUGAAAUGAUUGAGUUGGGAAGCCAGAGUCCAAACAAACAUCUGCACAACUUACUCCCUUACAU
rnacentral:lncRNA from 1 species